UACGUAGGCAGCGAGCGUUGUUCGGAAUUACUGGGCGUAAAGAGUGUGUAGGCGGUGCUCUAAGUUCGGUGUGAAAUCUCCCGGCUUAACUGGGAGGGUGCGGCGGAAACUGGAAUGCUAGAGGAUGGGAGAGGUAAGCGGAAUUCCUGGUGUAGCGGUGAAAUGCGUAGAUAUCAGGAGGAACACCUGUGGUGUAGACAGCUUACUGGACCAUUUCUGACGCUGAGACACGAAAGCGUGGGUAGCAAACAGG
rnacentral:rRNA from 1 species